rnacentral:rRNA from 2 species
AGGAUUCCCCUAGUAACGGCGAGUGAAGCGGGAAGAGCUCAAAUUGGAAAGCUGGGCGUUCUGCGCCCCGCAUUGUAUCCUAAAGAGGCGUUUUCCGUGCCAGAGUUGGUUCAAGUCCCUUGGAAAAGGGCUCCGGAGAGGGUGAAAGACCCGUACUUGACCUUCGGCCUGGUGCUUUGUGAUACGCCCUCGACGAGUCGAGUUGUUUGGGAAUGCAGCUCAAAGUGGGUGGUAAAUUCCAUCUAAAGCUAAAUAUCUGGGAGAGACCGAUAGCGAACAAGUACCGUGAGGGAAAGAUGAAAAGAACUUUGGAAAGAGAGUUAAACAGUGUGUGAAAUCGUCGAAAGGGAAGGGUAUGGGCUCAGAUGUGUCUGCCCGGGUUCACCAUCUGUUUUCAGGUGGGUACUCCCGGCUGGACAGGCCAGCAUCGGCUUGGCGCUUUGGAUAACAUGCGGCGGAAUGUGGCAGCUCCCUCGGGCGCUGUGUUAUAGCCACCGCACCAUACAAAGCACCGGGCCGAGGAACGCAGCGUGCAAUUCAUUUUGCGGGCCCUCGGGCACCUUCACGCUUAGGAUGCUGGCAUAAUGUGCCUAUACCGCCCGUCU